GGGUCCAAAUAAAACAAAAUAAAACAUCCCAAAAUGUUAUAAAAUAUCAACAAAUUCAUCUCCAUUAUCCCCCAUGUUGCUCCACCUCCGCUUCUGGGAGGAGCCAGGCGGGGCCACAAAGCGGACUCCUCCAUCUCAUCCCACCAACUCUGUCAGUCCACCAGGCCACUGCAGUAACAGCCACAUCUUCACAUCACAAAGCUGCAGUACUAUCUCAAUCGGUUGAAGUACCAUCCAGGAUCCUGUGGCAACGUCAAUGUGAAACAGCAUUGACCCCUGAUCACCACCAACCAGGGCUCCACAGUGGUUGCCUUGGACACCCAGUGAAACAGCAUUGACCCCUGAUCACCACCAACCAGGGCUCCACAGUGGUUGCCUUGGACACCCAGUGAAACAGCAUUGACCCCUGAUCACCACCAACCAGGGCUCCACAGUGGUUGCCUUGGACACCCAGUGAAACCAGAGAGAGCACACCAGGCAGCAGGGAGCACUUUGAUGUGAUUGGCUGUUCAGCAGGAAGAUUCAUCUGGCUACACAGAAGGGAUGAUGGCUCUGACCAAUACAUUUUUUGUUAUG